UGAUGUGAAGCCAUAUGACUGUGACACCCAUCACCCCACUCCCUCACUGUCAGGGUUGAUUCAGUUGAUCCCUGUAGGCCAGGCUAGUGUUCCUUCUUCCCUCAAUGGUUCUCUAAGCUGCACACUUAAGAGCAGAGGAUGACCUUCCCUGUUAGAGGAGGACUACUCUUCAGUUGAGAAUUCUUAUCGAUAUAUUUUUAUUAAACUACUUCACAUUUAUUCAAGGAUU
rnacentral:sRNA from 1 species